ensembl:lncRNA
AUGAAGAUUUUACACUAUUGUGGAGAGAUGUACUGUUUGGAUUCUUUACAUACAAUAGAAAUAAGCAGAAACAUUUUUAUGUAAUUAAUUUCAUUAUUCUUUUGGCCAAUUGUCAUAUACACAAAUGUAACUUUACAAACAGAAAACCACAUUUUCGUACCCUACAAAAAGAAAUUGAACUGUAUUUUAAGACAGUUAAAUGCUCUACUAACAAAAAAGCUGUUAGAAUUGCAAGUAUAUGUAUGUCCCUUAAGGUCCUUGUGUAAUUGUAAUGUGAUAUUGUACCCCCUAGCUUGAUUGUCCAUUGUUUGUAAUUUAUGUAUGCUUGUGUUCCCUCAUGUGCUUUAUGUAUAUAUUUGUUGUUAAUAAAAAAAAUAUUGCUAGCUGUCACUUAAAUGGGGAGGGACUGAAGCUCAUUGGCUGGAACUCAAAUUGCAAGGGGGCUGGCCCACAUGGGAGAAUGUUUAGGGAAAAUGGCACAGCGUGACUUUCAAACAAGAGAUUUAGUGGCUAAUUGAACUUCACAUGGCUGAUCGAAUAAGACGAGAUGGAGGCCGGGAGAGAAGAGCAUUUCUUCAGGGUCCUCUUGGACAUGGUGGGUAUGGACAAGCUGAAGACGUGGGCUGCAGUGAACCAUGGGGCCAUCGUGCUCUGUUGUGCCGAUGGGAGUGUUGCCGAGGAGAUCAGGGAGGUAUUAAAGGCCUACUACGCUUCAGAACUGUAAAGGAGUGGAAGUUCUGCUGAAGAAACUGGCCUGAUACAGAUACCAUCUCACCAAAAUUGACCCCCUCUGAGACAUUUCACCAACUAUUGUGACCUCACCAACUGGAGUCACAGGUUCUCAUAACUGUCCCCCCCAGUCCUUUGACCUGACCAUCCUGGUAAAAUCCCUACUAUGACAUGAAGAUGGAAAGAAAUACUGAUUUGUACUGCCUUUUGUCAAAUUCAUUUAGGUGUGCUUGUUUGUAAAGCGGUGGAGCAAGUAUUUAAAUGUAAAAGGCACAAAUACUGGCAGUGUUUUUGUAUAAUCUUGUACAACUCAUACCGAUCAGUUACUAGCUGACCCAGGAGCUGGAAUUAACUAAAAGAAAACAUGUUAUUGCAACACAAACUAUACAUUGGCAGAGAAUGUCAGUAAGCAAAUUUCCCCCCAAAAUGUUUCUCAUCUAUAGAAUAUUAACCCUGAUGGUUUGUGUGUCGUCACCUUUAUGCCACGUUAAAUCACCAAGCCGUGGUCCGGUCUGGUAGUCUCCUCAUCUAUGACGGAAGGAAGCCUGCAUUCUCACUAGCAAAUUCAUUUAGUGGGCCCUGCUCAGGUUCCAUCUGUCCUGGUGUCUGAUCCGGACAGACCCAGUCAGACGAAACGGCUUAUUUCUUCCAGAGACCUCACAUUCUUCUAAUCAGUAGAGGAUUAUCAAUGGCUGCCUGUGUGGCUACUAUUUGGGAGGUUUAGGCUCAUGGCAGUAGUCGGACUUGCACUACUUUAGAGAAUUUUGUUGACCAGUGAAGACAAUUUGGGAAUCAAAUCAACAUUGAGAGCUGUGCUGUUAUUUUGAUGAUGCUCUUUUUAGCAAAAGGUCUGAAGUUGAAAUACAGUAUCAAUGUCCAGGUGGCUGGUGAACCUUGUGGGUGACACUGACAGAGUUUAUCAACAAAUAUUUUCCGGGAGGAAAUGUUUGCUUAUCUGAGAGUACUUGAGGUUUUCCAAACACACAUGAUCAGUGACCUACUCUUUUUAAUCUUCUGGUGUGGAAACAUUGCAAGCUGCUUCCAUAUUCAUAAAUCCGCUUUGGGAAGAUUCAAUCUUCCAGAUACCCAGAUUAUUUAACCUGUCUGCAGAUUCAUCCAGAUGUUGCAUUUUGAACUUAUUAUUUCAGACCCGACCGGGUGCCGUUCUGCAGUGGAUUAUGUCUUCUUGUUGGGAUAACAUGGCCAUAAGGACUGGAGGGGAAUAGUGUGGUAUACAAAUAUAGUUGAAGUCAGAAGUUUACAUACACUUAGGUUAGAGUCAUUACAACUUCUCCACAAAUUUCUUGUUAACAAACUAUCGUUUUGGCAAGUCGGUUAGGACAACUACUUUGUGCAUGACAAGUAAUUUUUCCAACAAUUGUUUAGACGGAUUAUUUAACUUAUUCACUGUAUCACAAUUCUAGGGGGUCAGAAGAUUACAUACACUAAGUUGACUGUGCCUUUAAAACAGCUUAGAAAAUUCCAGAAAAUGGAUGUCAAUUAGAAGCUUCUAGAGCCAUGACAUCAUUUGAGUCAAUUGGAGAUGUACCUGUGGACGUAUUUCAAGGCCUACCUUCAAACUCAGUGCCUUUUUGCUUGACAUCAUGGCUGAUUUCUUUUGAUUUUCCCAAGACCUCAGAAAAAUAAAUUGUAGACCUCCACAAGUCUGGUUCAUCCUUGGGAGCAAUUUCCAAACGCCUGAAGGUACCACAGUCAUCUGUACAAACAAUAGUACACAAGUAUAAACACCAUGGGACCACGCAUCAAUCAUACCACUCAGGAAGGAGAUGCGUUCUGUCUCCUAGAGAUGAACGUACUUUGGUGUGAAAAGUGCAAAUCAAUCCCAGAACAACAGCAAAGGACCUUGUGAAGAUGCUGGAGGAAACGGGUACAAAAGUAUCUAUAUCCACAGUAAAACGAGUCCUAUAUCGACAUAACCUGAAAGGCCGCUCAGCAAGGAAGAAGCCACUGCUCCAAAACCACCAUAAAAAGCCAGACUAUGGUUUGCAACUGCACAUGGGGACAAAGAUCGUACUUUUUGGAGAAAUGUCUUCUGGUCUGAUGAAACAAA